rnacentral:pre_miRNA from 1 species
AAUAAAUCAACAUUUCAGUUUUUAGAUACAAUGUUUAACUCUUCGUCUUACUAAAAAAAUUUACAAUCAAUAAUUUUAUUUUUAUUAGAUGAUAAAACACGAAUAAUACUUUAUAUGUGACUAAUUUUUUAAAAAUUUCUUAAAAUUUUUUCAAAUAAGACGAAUGGUCAAAUGCUCGACAAAAAACCGAAAUGACAAAGCUGUA